UUUCCGUAGGUGAACCUGCGGAAGGAUCAUUACAGUAGUCGCCCGGGUUGCCGCAAGGCCUCCCGGGUAACCUACCACCCUUUGUUUAUUACACUUUGUUGCUUUGGCAGGCCUGCCCUCGGGCUGCUGGCUCCGGCCGGCGAGCGCUUGCCAGAGGACCUAAACUCUGUUUGUCUAUACUGUCUGAGUACUAUAUAAUUGUUAAAACUUUCAACAACGGAUCUCUUGGUUCUG
rnacentral:misc_RNA from 1 species